rnacentral:lncRNA from 1 species
GAGGAAUAUCUACCCUCAAUCCAGGCUCCAGUCUGCCACCCAGGUACGAGGGCUUCGGAGGAAAGAGCAGCGUCGCUGCCUGCUUCUGCUUCUUGCUGAGCGGAUGUGUCUGUUGCUACCACUGUCAUCCUUUGCUGACACCAGUCUGCAGCUUUUCUGGCUUUCUGACAAGUACUUCUGACAAGACCAAUACCUCGCGGGAAUCUGCAGGCUCCCAGUACCCAGGCUUGGAUUGCUGACUUAUCAGCUCCCUGGGUUGAGCAGCUACCAGGUUGUAGGCCUGAGAAAUCCUUCUUUUUAAUAUAUUCCAAUAUAAUUCUACAGGUUCUGCUCUUCCAGAGAAGUCAGACAUACAGCUUUUUCUUUUCCUCCUCCUUUCCUCUUCUUUCUUUCAUCCUCCUCCUUUUCUUCCUCUUUUUCUUCCUCCUCUUCCUCCUCCUUCUCUUUCUUCUUCAGAAACUCUAAAAUGAUAUUGAAGAUUUCUGAGUUUGGGGUAUCUCAGUUGGUAGACUACUUGCCUUGCUUGCACAAGACCUUGAGUCUAAACUCCAGCACUGCAUAAAUUGGGCAUAGAGGUGCACAUCUGCAAUUCUAGUCCUUGGGAGACGAAGACAAGAGGAUCAGGAGUUCAAGGACAUCCUCAGCUACAUAGUGAGUUUAAGACCAGCCUGAGAUUCAAGGUACCAUGUCAGAAAACAACAACAACAAUAACAACAACAACAACAACAACAACAACGACAACCUUCUGAGAAGGACUUAAGUUUUAUUUCCUUUCUGUCACUCAGAGCAGAAGGAGCCUCCCAUAGAAGCCCUGAGUUUAGUAUGAUACUGGGGCAACUUGGAUCCUUGUUGGUUGAUUACAACCUUAAUAUGGGUGAUUGUGUGAACACAUUUGAUAUAAGGAAAAAAAUGUAGUGAUUUAUGUAUUGCCUCCCACAAAGUGCCAUGUGUCAACUCUAUCCACAGUGGUGAUGCAGAAGAAAGUGUCAGCAU